UUGACUAAUGAAACCAAUAGGCGAAAAAUACAUCCUACUAUAUUAUUUGGGAAGUACAUUUUAAAUAUAACCUUAAUUUUUGUAAGUAAUUACAUAGGUAUGCCAUUAGAAAUAAAAUUUUAAAGAGUAAAUUAAUUUAUCUCUUUAACGAUUAAAAAGUCAAUUACU
rnacentral:sRNA from 1 species